rnacentral:rRNA from 1 species
AGAGUUCGAUUAUGGCUCAGAUUGAACGCUGGCGGCAUGCUUUACACAUGCAAGUCGAACGGCAGCACAGGGAGCUUGCUCCCGGGUGGCGAGUGGCGCACGGGUGAGUAAUACAUCGGAACGUGUCCUAUAGUGGGGGAUAACUAGUCGAAAGACUAGCUAAUACCGCAUGAGACCUGAGGGUGAAAGCAGGGGAUCGCAAGACCUUGCGCUAUUGGAGCGGCCGAUGCCCGAUUAGCUAGUUGGUGAGGUAAAGGCUCACCAAGGCGACGAUCGGUAGCUGGUCUGAGAGGACGACCAGCCACACUGGGACUGAGACACGGCCCAG